CGUGUAGGCGGUCAAGUAAGUGGAAUGUGAAAGCCCCCGGCUCACCCGGGGAUCUGCAUCCCAAACUGCUUGGCUUGAGUACGGGAGAGGAUAGGGGAAUUCCUGGUGUAGCGGUGAAAUGCGUAGAUAUCAGGAGGAACACCGGUGGCGAAGGCGCCUAUCUGGCCCGAUACUGACGCUGAGGCGCGAAAGCUAGGGAGCAAACG
rnacentral:rRNA from 1 species